UUAGAAAGACAGGAAUUGAACCUGUAA
rnacentral:tRNA from 1 species